rnacentral:rRNA from 1 species
AUGCACGCUGGCAGAAUGCUUAACACAUGCAGGUCUUUGGCGAAGCUGUGCUUGCACCGCCUAGCCAAGGCGGACGGGUGAGUAACGCGUAAGGAACUUGCCCUGCAGUCAGGGAUAACAGACGGAAACGACUGAUAAGACCUGGUAAAGUCAGGCGGACUCAUGUCCAGCCUGAUGAAAAGAGAUGCUGCAGGAGAGCCUUGCGUCCUAUUAGCUUGUUGGUGGGGUAACGGCCCACCAAGGCGAUGAUAGGUAGCCGGCCUGAGAGGGUGGACGGCCACAAGGGGACUGAGAUACGGCCCUUACUCCUACGGGAGGCAGCAGUGGGGAAUAUUGGACAAUGGGGGCAACCCUGAUCCAGCAAUUCUGUGUGCACGAUGAAGGUUUUCGGAUGGUAAAGUGCUUCCAGCAGGGAAGAAAAAAUGACGGUACCUGCAGAAGAAGCGACGGCUAAAUACGUG